rnacentral:rRNA from 1 species
AUGCAGAGAACUUUACCAGAGAUGGAUUGGUGCCUUCGGGAACGUCUGACACAGGUGCUGCAUGGCUGUCGUCAGCUCGUGUCGUGAGAUGUUGGGUUAAGUCCCGUAACGAGCGCAACCCUUGUCCUUAGUUACCAGCACGUUAUGGUGGGCACUCUAAGGAGACUGCCGGUGACAAACCGGAGGAAGGUGGGGAUGACGUCGAGUCAUCAUGGCCCUUACGGCCUGGGCUACACACGUGCUACAAUGGUCGGUACAAAGGGUUGCCAAGCCGCGAGGUGGAGCUAAUCCCAUAAAACCGAUCGUAGUCCGGAUCGCAGUCUGCAACUCGACUGCGUGAAGUCGGAAUCGCUAGUAAUCGUGAAUCAGAAUGUCACGGUGAAUACGUUCCCGGGCCUU